rnacentral:rRNA from 1 species
GAUGAACGCUCGCUACAGGCUUAACACAUGCAAGUCGCGGGGCAGCAUGGGGGUUGCUUGCAACCCCUGAUGGCGACCGGCGCACGGGUGAGUAACGCGUAUCCAACCUGCCCUUCACCACGGGAUAACCCGGCGAAAGUCGGACUAAUACCGUAUGUUGUCCAUUGACGGCAUCCGAUUUGGACGAAAGGCUUGGCGGUGAAAGGAUGGGGAUGCGUCCGAUUAGCUUGACGGCGGGGUAACGGCCCACCGUGGCUACGAUCGGUAGGGGUUCUGAGAGGAAGGUCCCCCACACUGGAACUGAGACACGGUCCAGACUCCUACGGGAGGCAGCAGUGAGGAAUAUUGGUCAAUGGGCGUAAGCCUGAACCAGCCAAGUAGCGUGCAGGAUGACGGCCCUAUGGGUUGUAAACUGCUUUUAUGCGGGGAUAAAGUGGCCCACGUGUGGGCUUUUGCAGGUACCGCAUGAAUAAGGGCCGGCUAAUUCCGUGC